rnacentral:rRNA from 1 species
GACGAACGCUGGCGGCGUGCUUAACACAUGCAAGUCGAACGGUGAAGCGCCUUCCUUUUUGGUGGGUGUGGAUGAGUGGCGAACGGGUGAGUAACACGUGAGUAACCUGCCCCCUUCUUCUGGAUAACCGCAUGAAAGUGUGGCUAAUACGGGAUAUUCUGGGUCUGUCGCAUGAUGGGUCUGGGAAAGAUAUUGUUUCGGUGGGGGAUGGGCUCGAGGCCUAUCAGCUUGUUGGUGGGGUGAUGGCCUACCAAGGCGGUGACGGGUAGCCGGCCUGAGAGGGUGGACGGUCACACUGGGACUGAGACACGGCCCAGACUCCUACGGGAGGCAGCAGUGGGGAAUAUUGCACAAUGGGCGCAAGCCUGAUGCAGCGACGCCGCGUGAGGGAUGGAGGCCUUCGGGUUGUGAACCUCUUUCGCCAGUGAAGCAGGCCUGCCUCGUUUGUGGGUGGGUUGACGGUAGCUGGAUAAGAAGCGCCGGCUAACUACGUG